rnacentral:rRNA from 1 species
UUUAGGUCAUAUUGUCCGAUUACGUCGUAUAAAGUUCUAGAUAGAUAACUGAUAAUGACAACUUCCUAUCUAUAUGUCUUGACCAAAUUACGUGCCAGCAGUCGCGGCAAUACGUAGAAGACUAGUGUUAUUCAUCUUUAUUAGGUUUAAAGGGUACCUAGACGGUAAAACUAGCCCCAAAGGGAACAGCUUUACUAGAGUUUUAUGUGAGAGGUAUAUGUUAGGACUGUUGGUGUAGAGAUGAAAUUCUAUGAUACUAAUGGGACGGAUGGCGGCGAAAGCAAACCUCUAUGUAUAAACUGACGUUGAGGGACGAAGGCUUGGGGAGCAAAUAGGAUUAGAUACCCUAGUAGUCCAGGCAGACAAUUAUGAAUGUUAUAUGCUAGGUUUUUACACUUGGUGUAUAAAUGAAAGUGCAAGCAUUCCACCUCAAGAGUAAUGUGGCAACGCAGGAACUGAAAUCAUUAGACCGUGUCGAAACCAGUAGUGAAGUAUGUUAUUUAAUUCGAUGAUCCUCGAAAAACCUUACCACAAUUUGAAUAUUAUUUCUUUAAAUAAUACAAGCGUUGCACGGCUGUCUUCAGUUAAUGUCGUGAGAUUUUGGUUAGAUUCAUUAAUUAACGUAAACCCAUACUUUAUUUAUUCUCUAUAAAGUAGUUCCCCGCUAUAUUGGAUUUUGAUAAUAGGGACCAAGACAAGUCAUCAUGACCUUUAUAUUGUGGGCUAUAGAC